rnacentral:tRNA from 1 species
CUAAGGAUGCUUCUCCAGGCCGUCUCUCACGAGGCUGUCUAUUGAGGCUCCAAUAGCUGAUGCGCUCUAGCAGCAAUGCGAUAGCGCUAGGCACAAACGGCGGAACGCCGCCGUCUCCGUUUCUCUUUCCACUUUCGUCAUCGACGCCUCGACCAUACGGGUCGUUGAGUUGGUGACGCGAUCGCGAGCCUGGGUCUCUAGACCUGGCUGUCGCUGCCAUAGGCCCGUAGCUCAGGUGGUUAGAGCGUACGCCUGAUAAGCGUAAGGUCGGCAGUUCGAGUCUGCCCGGGCCUACCAGCCCUGCUGGACUCCAGCCUUGGACAGUAUCGUAUGACAGCUCUCCUGGGCUUCGCACCAUUCCUCGGAAUGGGGCCAUAGCUCAGUUGGUAGAGCGCCUGCUUUGCAAGCAGGAUGUCGUCGGUUCGACUCCGUCUGGCUCCACCAGGAUCUUGUGAUCGCAUUCAAGUUUGCCGUCGGCCUUUAGGUUGGCGUGCAUUGAAAUCGUAAAGGAAGAACGUGACCGGCUCCCCUGAGCUUGUAGGUCUUGUUCGAGAAGAAGACAUUGUCUGACAAAAAUCAGGCUUGGUCCCCCGGCAUCUUUCCAGUCGGGCGGAAUAAACCAAGCAUGAGUUUUGCUGAGAAAC